AGUAAUACAUAGGUAACCUACCCUUAAGUUCGGGAUAACUCCUUGAAAGAGGAGCUAAUACCGGAUAUUAUCUCGAGGUCUUAAGACUUUGAGAUGAAAGGUUUACUGCUUAGGGAUGGGCUUAUGCCUGAUUAGUUAGUUGGUAGGGUAAUGGCCUACCAAGACGAUGAUCAGUAGCUGGUCUGAGAGGACGAACAGCCACACUGGAACUGAGAUACGGUCCAGACUCC
rnacentral:rRNA from 1 species